rnacentral:misc_RNA from 1 species
ACGGUGUGGGGCAGCUCACCAUGCCUCCGCCGUUCGCGGUGAAGGAGUAGGGGUACGCUCCGAACCCGGUCUCCACCGUGUAGGGGAUGCCGGUGUCCCACGAGGUCCGGUUGGUAGGGAACACCGAGACGAACAUCUUCGCCGUUCCGGAGGCAGGGAUCAGCCGCGGCUCGAGGCAGCCGCAGGCGUGGUCGCGCAGCAGGGUGAGCACGUUGCCGGUGGGCAUCGUGCCCGAGUAGCUGCGGUCGUAGGCCUUCUCGAGGGGGGUGACCUGCGGGCUGUUCCACCACGAGGUCACGUCCUCCUCGGUAUAGAUGAGGCCCAGCUGGCUCCCGCCGCUCUGGGUGCGAGUCUGGAUGCUGGCGCAGUCCACCCCGCCGUCCGGCACGCAGAAGCCCAGCCGGAUGCCCAGGUCGUACGGCGGCGUGGCCCCCGCGGACGGGAUCCGCCACUGCCAGAAGAGCCGGGCCUCGGGAACCGCACCCACCGGAAUGUCCACCGCGUAGGUGUCCACGUCGUCGCCCCGCCCAUCGUAGUCCUUCACGUCGGUGAUCGACGCGAUGCCCAGGCUGGUGUCGGUCGCUCCGAUGCCGUAGCUCAGAUAGCCGGUGAGCGCGGUCGCGCCCACGCCUGCGCCCAUGGUCGCGGGACGCUGCGCUUCGGGGAUGGCCUCCGCAACGGGCUCCGGCUCUGCCAGCCACUGGACGAAGACGGUGUAGUCGGUGUCGUCCGCCCAGUUGGUCCCCUCGUCCUCGAACUGGAAGAAGUAGUCCACGUCGCCCGCAUGAGGCGGGACCUGCAGCACGCCCU